rnacentral:rRNA from 1 species
UACGGGGGGGGCAAGCGUUGUUCGGAAUUACUGGGCGUAAAGGGCUCGUAGGUGGCCAACUAAGUCAGACGUGAAAUCCCUCGGCUUAACCGGGGAACUGCGUCUGAUACUGGAUGGCUUGAGUUCGGGAGAGGGAUGCGGAAUUCCAGGUGUAGCGGUAAAAUGCGCAGAUAUCAGGAGGAACACCGGUGGCGAAGGCGGGUCUCUGGGCCGAUACUGACGCUGAGGAGCGAAAGCGUGGGGAGCGAACAGG